rnacentral:rRNA from 1 species
GAUGAACGCUAGCGGGAGGCCUAACACAUGCAAGCCGAGCGGUAGAGAUUCUUCGGAAUCUUGAGAGCGGCGUACGGGUGCGGAACACGUGUGCAACCUGCCUUUAUCAGGGGGAUAGCCUUUCGAAAGGAAGAUUAAUACCCCAUAAUAUAUUGAAUGGCAUCAUUUGAUAUUGAAAACUCCGGUGGAUAGAGAUGGGCACGCGCAAGAUUAGAUAGUUGGUGAGGUAACGGCUCACCAAGUCUACGAUCUUUAGGGGGCCUGAGAGGGUGAUCCCCCACACUGGUACUGGGACACGGACCAGACUCCUACGGGAGGCAGCAGUGAGGAAUAUUUGACAAUGGGUGCGAGCCUUAUCCAGCCAUCCCGCGUGGAGUACGACGGCCCUAUGGGUUGUAAACUUCUUUUGUAUAGGGAUAAACCUAGAUACGUGUAUCUAGCUGAAGGUACUAUACGAAUAAGCACCGGCUAACUCCGUGCCAGCCGCCGCGGUAA